UGCUGUCAGUAGAGAAUACAGGCGGAGGAUCAGAUGAAACAAUCCGCCCUGGGACUGCAGUGGGUCUGAGGGCAGCAGUUGACUAAACCGGCUCGGACAUGAUGACAUACAAAGAGGAGCGUGCCCUCCGUCCUGCAUAAAAACACACAGGCCUGAAGAGCCUGUUGACAUGUCAGCUGAAUGGGAGCAAUAUCCUUCAAGGAACUCUGUCACCGCCGAUGGCAAAGGUCGCGCUCUGCAGACGUGUGGUGACACCAGAACUGACUAGAAAAUGCUAAAUUGUUAUAUCUCAGGAUUCGUCACUUCUCUAGCAUGACAGUUCCUUCAUCCAGUGAAACCAAAUCACAGAAAAAAAAUCACUUUUGACUUUAUGCUUUUAUUUUACUUUCUGAUGUUGCAUACUUUUUGUGCACACCUAGUUUGUUUCAUAAGAACAAUAAAGUUCUUAGUUUCAGGUGAAUUUAAAGCCAAAGAUACAAACAAAAAGCCGUGUUCCCAUGAAUACACAUAACAUUUGUGACAAAGUAAGAAUUUGUUUUUUCUCACUUCAUGUUGAGCUUUGUCUCUUUCAGUCACACCAGGUUCAAGUUGCUGAUUAUCCUCAGCUGUCUUCAUUGAGGUCAAUCUUCUUUAGCCUAUUUAAGUGUCUGGUUUUCUGUUGACACCUGGUUUGUUUCUCCAACAGUUUGUAGUCUUGAUAAGUUUAUUAAUGAAAGUUUACAUCAAGAAACCACAGAUGAAAUGUUGUGCUCACAGCCCCCUAAUUUUAAUGUUCCUGUCUUCAAACCAAAUUAAUAAGAAGUCAAACCAUCUAACAAUGAAGAAAACCAGUUGGAGUUGACGUUUCCUGGGAGUUCAAUGCUCAUCCAUGUUUCUACUGUGUUAAAGGACCAAACUUUCCAGAAGAAGAUCCGUCUUGACGCCGAGGUGCUGCUGCCCUCAUCCUGUGCUGGAGCAGUAAAACCCUCAGACUCAUAGCUGACCGAUCCCAAACGAUCCAAACACCAGCAUCACCGGAUCCUCUGGUUCAAACACCCUCAGCUGCUGCGCGGUGAGGGAGCCGCCGGGAGCCCGAACCGCCGCGUCUUCCAUCCCUCCUGUGAGGCCAUUAUUGGCCAUCAUUGGUGCAGACACCAGCUAAUCAGCUGGAGAGCGUGUGCUGCAACGGGCCGAACAUGCCGGCUUCAGACUUGUCAAAAUAAACUGAAACGAUACCUCUGAGGGCGUCACCUGAACGCCUCCACCUCUCUGCACAGGACGGUAAAUUCUACAAACGGGACAUUUCCACCUUCAUCACAAACAAAACAGGAUGAUCACAAUACAGGAUUUUACAGAAAAACAGGAUUUACCUUUAAAAGCUUUUCAAAGACGGACCCUAAUCCCAUCCGAAGACGCCCCCAGCCCGCCAUUCUCUCCUGACCCUGCUGGGAAUUUACAUCCUAAUGAUGUUUCCACCCGAAAACCUUUUCCUCCCAGGAGACGUUGGGCUUAUUUAAUGCUUCUUAGUGGAAGCUUUGCUUUGUUUCUGCUCUCCAGUUCUGUAAAAGUGGGAACUUUCUAAUCAUUUUCAUACAUUUAAAUGUUAAGAUCAGAUUUUUAAAAAUUCUCUUUUCCAUCGACCACUUAUUUUAAUGUAUGAAUAGGCGAGCGGGGCGCCCUAUACAAGUGCUUAUCCUGCUGUAAUCCUGAGCUGGGUCACUGCAGGUUAAAAACAAUCCCAGCAUGCACUUGGAUAGAUGUAAUAUUGAAUAAUCACUGCUGGAAAGGUUUAUCUUUUUGUUUAUUUGUUAUUUUUAUGUAAGUUUGUUUGGUUUCAACUUUUCUGAAAGAGGAGGUCUAAAUAUCCCAUAAAACUGUUUCCAGGCUUUACUUCGAGGAAGAUGAUGGAUGAUGAAGGCAGGAGACCCAACGGUUUGCUGCUCUCACAUUGUGUAGGUUAAAACAAGUGUUUGCUCCCACAAAUACGCUUUUUAAAAUGCAGCGGAGUGAGCCCAAUGUCCUCAAACCAAUAAUAACCGCGGCUCAUCCAUUCAAAGCGAGCAGCGAUGCGCCGCAUAAAACGCCACUUCUCUCCUGCUUCUUCUUAUUUUCACAUAAGUUCCGCCUGACUUGUGGAUCUUGUUACAUUUUCUUUUUCUUCCAUGGAAUCUGACAAAACAAUUUAAAAGAUAAUGUUUAGGAAAAAUCUAUGAAUCCUUAGUUUUAGGGCAAUAAAUCAUGUUUAUUGAUCAAACGUGUUUAUGAAGGUUUAUUUUGGGGAGAAUCUGCAUUUUAUUAGGAUUCUACUUUCUUGGGUCUCCAUUGUUCAGAGUAAGAUAAGCCCCGCCCCUUUUCUCACUACGUUUAAAUAACAGGUACACUGUAAAAAUUGAAACUUUGGAUCAAUUAGCAAAAGUUCUGUAAGUUAUUACAUUAAAAAUGCUGAGUUUAGUGAACCAUCAACUCAAAAAUUUCAAUAUGAUGAAAACUAGAUCUAAAUGCAACAAUUACAGAACUUUUAAUUUAUUCAAAUUUUAGAUUUUUGUCAGUGCAACAAUGAGAAUUAAAAAAAAAAAAAACAGCAAGUUUAAGUUCUAAAAAACUGUUUUGGUUUUGUAACUCAAACAAACUUGACGCUGCAGAAUCUGUUGCUAAAAAAAGUCAGAUUACAUUUUUGCAGAGACUAAAACUGAAACUCUGUCGAGUGUUUCUGUACCAGAUGCUAAAGCUAGCGGCGGCACACAAAACAUCUGCUGCUUUAUCAACAAUUUUACUACUUGGAUUUGAUUUGACUUUUUUAUGUCCAAAGGAGACAUUAAAAUACAAUAUUUUUUCCAAAUAUAUUCUGAUUUUUCUGCAUAUUUCUUAUUUAUUUUGGAUCCCCAUUAGUUGAAACCAAGCAGAUGCAGUACAGGGUAACCAAACCCUAAAUCAACUUUUUUUGUCUUUUUUUUUUCAAUAAAUGAGGCUUUAAAAGUUCUUUCUGUUGGUUGUUGCAAAUUUAAAAUAAACUUGUUUAAU